rnacentral:rRNA from 1 species
CCUACGGGUGGCAGCAGUGAGGAAUAUUGGUCAAUGGGCGGGAGCCUGAACCAGCCAAGUCGCGUGAGGGAAGACGGUCCUAUGGAUUGUAAACCUCUUUAGGCGGGGAGUAAUGCCGGGCACGCGUGCCCGGAGGGAGAGUACCCGCAGAAUAAGCAUCGGCUAACUCCGUGCCAGCCGCCGCGGUAAUACGGAGGAUGCGAGCGUUAUCCGGAUGUAUUGGGUUUAAAGGGUGCGUAGGCGGAUUUUUAAGUCAGCGGUAAAAUGUCCGGGCUCAACCCGGGCCGGCCGUUGAAACUGGGGAUCUUGAGUGGGCGAGAAGUAUGCGGAAGGCGUGGUGUAGCGGUGAAAUGCAUAGAGAUCACGCAGAACUCCGAUUGCGAAGGCAGCAUACCGGCGCCCGACUGACGCUGAGGCACGAAAGCGUGGGGAUCGAACAGGAUUAGAUACCCGAGUAGUC